rnacentral:misc_RNA from 1 species
CUGCUCGACGAGAUCGUCGGCGACAUCCACGGGGCAGUUCUAGAUUUUCCUUUGUUGAUUGUCAGGGCUGUCAAUGCAGCUCGGCGAGCUAGCCCCACUGCCAGCUUAGCUAUCGUGACAGCCAUUGGGGCUGCUAACGCCGUUAGUGGGGUGAAGGCGACAACUGACGAGAUGUUGGCCGAAGCGGAGAAGGCAAAUGUCCUGGCUGCAAAAAAAAUUGAUCGCCUGCUUCGAGAAGAUGAAGAACAGGUCGACGAUGAAUUUGAUGACCGGAGACUGUGGAGUGAGGUAUUUUGUGAGGACAUGUCCAAUUUACCUCCUCCUCCAACUCUUUCUGAAAUUUGUGCAGAGUACGACCUCGACAUAGAUGAGAUACUAGAUCGCUCGAUAUGA